GGGGGGGGGGGGGGGGGGGGGGGGUAUAAUCCCUGAGUCUCAGAGGAGAAUUAUAGAGAAAUAAAAGCUACAGAGCCACUGAGGCUGUGCAGAAAGAGCCAGUCAAUCACUACAAUGCAGCUCCUCUGGCCUUUGUAUGUGUCAGACCCAACACGCUCAAUAAAAGAGGGGCUCAGAAGCCCACAGUCAUAAAUGCACUAUCGCAAACUAGACACCAGGCUCCUGGAAAACUAUCGCUCACCUUCUACCAGGUCACCAGGCUCAGGGACGAGUCACGUCACACGACUUUAGAGCAGAGCAGCGACGGCUGAUGUCACCGACAGAGAGGCCGCUCACACCUGAUACCAGUCAGGGGUCUUUUCACAGAGUGGACGUUAAUGGGAUAUAAUUAUCUAAUAGUUAAAUGAAGAAAACACAAACAAAUAAAUGCUUUUAAAUAAUUGAGCUGAAAGUCGUAGGAGGAGAAUCCAACCUGACGACGAGCAGAGAAGAUUUUAAUCGGCUCAAAGGGAAACUUUGAAUGAAUGUCGUUCAAACCAGCAGUCGAGAAAAUGACGAUUUUAGGAAACUUGAGACUUGUGCCCAAUUCUGAAUUCACAGAAUGAUAAUGAGAGACGCCAGUAAAGCGUCAGCGCUGCAGUUGAGCAGACUCAGCACAGAACCAGCGUCCCAUGACCGGAGCCCACAUCCAGCAACAAAGAGCUGAAUGAGGCCACAGCUGCAGCGCCGACGAGACGAGACGCGGCCCGUUCUGCUGCGCUGGGAGCCGUUAGCACCAGCAGCUAAACACAACCGGAACCAGGACCAGAACCAGAACCAGGACGAGACACGGCCCGUUCUGCUGCGCUGGGAGCCGUUAGCACUAGCAGCUAAACACAACCGGAACCAGAACCAGCACAGGCUGGUUUCUCCACAUUCUAGUUACUGGCUACAAACCUCAGUUAGUUUAAGACUGAAUAUUUUAUGACACUUGUAAUAAUUUAAUUUAAAAAUCUUUUAUUCACUUUCCGUCAACGUCUGCUUAGUGUCACGUCAUCAUCCAUCAACGCUCAGAACGAAACCUAAUUACUCCGUCAUGAGUUCACUCACGACCGAAUCAACAGAGGAUGAAACGCAGUGAGAAGCGUCUGCUCAUAUUUGCAGCGUGUGCUAAUAAUUCAUGUGGUUUCGCUGUAGAAACUGAGAGUAACGCUUCCCUUUUACUGCACUUUGCCAUAAUGUAUGAGUAAAGCGACGAUGGUGAAACUGCGUGUGUCCUCACCACUUCAUCGUUUUAGUAGCUGACUGACUGCACACACACACACACACACACACACACAAAAACGCAGACACACACACACACACACGCAGACACACACACACACACACACACACACAAACGCAGACACAAACGCAGACACACACACACACACACACACACACACGCAGACACACACACACACACGCAGACACACACACAAACGCAGACACACACUCACACACACACGCAGACACACACACACAAACGCAGACACAAACGCAGACACACACACACACACACACACGCAGACACACACACACACACACACACACGCGCACACACACACGCAGACACACACACAAACGCAGACACACACACACACACACACACGCAGACACACACACACACGCAGACACACACACACACGCAGACACACACACACGCAGACACACACACACGCAGACACAC